rnacentral:rRNA from 1 species
GACGAACGCUGGCGGCGUGCUUAACACAUGCAAGUCGAACGAAGAGCGAUGGAAGCUUGCUUCUAUCAAUCUUAGUGGCGCACGGGUGAGUAACGCGUAAUCAACCUGCCCUUCAGAGGGGGACAACAGUUGGAAACGACUGCUAAUACCGCAUACGAUCUAAUCUCGGCAUCGAGGAUAGAUGAAAGGUGGCCUCUACAUGUAAGCUAUCACUGAAGGAGGGGAUUGCGUCUGAUUAGCUAGUUGGAGGGGUAACGGCCCACCAAGGCGAGGAUCAGUAGCCGGUCUGAGAGGAUGAACGGCCACAUUGGGACUGAGACACGGCCCAGACUCCUACGGGAGGCAGCAGUGGGGAAUCUUCCGCAAUGGACGAAAGUCUGACGGAGCAACGCCGCGUGAGUGAGGACGGCCUUCGGGUUGUAAAGCUCUGUUAAUCGGGACGAAAGGCCUUCUUGCGAAUAGUGAGAAGGAUUGACGGUACCGGAAGAGAAAGCCACGGCUAACUACGUG